UUCGUAAGCUACAGCUACAGGUGUGAGUCGCGCGGGACACCGGAGAGGGUGCCCCCCGGGUGAUGAGCGGCGGACGGGUGAGUAAUGUCUGGGAAACUGCCUGAUGGAGGGGGAUAACUACUGGAAACGGUAGCUAAUACCGCAUAACGUCGCAAGACCAAAGAGGGGGACCUUCGGGCCUCUUGCCAUCAGAUGUGCCCAGAUGGGAUUAGCUAGUAGGUGGGGUAAUGGCUCACCUAGGCGACGAUCCCUAGCUGGUCUGAGAGGAUGACCAGCCACACUGGAACUGAGACACGGUCCAGACUCCUACGGGAGGCAGCAGUGGGGAAUAUUGCACAAUGGGCGCAAGCCUGAUGCAGCCAUGCCGCGUGUGUGAAGAAGGCCUUCGGGUUGUAAAGCACUUUCAGCGAGGAGGAAGGUGGUGAGCUUAAUACGCUCAUCAAUUGACGUUACUCGCAGAAGAAGCACCGGCUAACUCCGUGCCAGCAGCCGCGGUAAUACGGAGGGUGCAAGCGUUAAUCGGAAUUACUGGGCGUAAAGCGCACGCAGGCGGUUUGUUAAGUCAGAUGUGAAAUCCCCGGGCUCAACCUGGGAACUGCAUUUGAAACUGGCAAGCUAGAGUCUCGUAGAGGGGGGUAGAAUUCCAGGUGUAGCGGUGAAAUGCGUAAAGAUCUGGAGGAAUACCGGUGGCGAAAGGCGGCCCCCCUGGACGAAAAC
rnacentral:rRNA from 1 species